rnacentral:lncRNA from 1 species
UCCACAAGGGCAACAAGGUUACCCUGAUUCUGCAGUAAUCCAACAGCCAGAGGCUCCUGUGGAUCCUUACUAUCGGUAAAUUUGCCCCUCUUAAUGGUUUACGGUUGAACUAGAAAAAUCUUGUUAGACUGUUACUGGAGACUGAAAAGCUGCCGUCUUUGUUGUUUGUUGUCUUUUUUGCCGUUUCAUAGGAAUGGAGCUGGAGGUGUAGCUGUAGCGGAGACCAUCCCCAAUUACCAACAACACUACGACUGGAGCAAUCAAGAGAACCAUGGGUAUCCGCAAUCACAAGGGAACAAUGUGUAUGGGUUGCUGCAAGGGAACACCCUUGAGCAGCAAUAUAUUCAGUAUACUCAACCCCAUCAGCAGGGCGUAGUAGCUCAGACACUAAUCACUGCGUCACAGUCUGAGGAGAACUCUCACAUUUCUUCAGUGCCGUAUCAGCAAUACCGCCCAUCGUAAUCUGAGAGAUGAAUGAACAUUUCGGUGCGGUUUGCUCAAGUUCUCCUCAUAGCAACUAAUUUUGUACAGACCAGUCAGACAUUUGUACUAGUUAUCGAGCUACCGUGUCUGUAUAUAUGGGCUUUGUUGUCAUGGCUGGAGACAACAAGACUGGUGCCUGCCUGGUCAGACUAACGUUAAACAAUAGGAGGAGGUAUUGCUAUGGUG